CUACAUGAAUAAACUUGUUCACUGCGCACAUUUGUGGAAACUGACAACUCAACUAUCCGAGGGCAUUCCUAAAUAACAUUCCUUUCAAUUCUGCGUGUUGCC
rnacentral:lncRNA from 1 species